rnacentral:sRNA from 1 species
AGAUGCCCCGGUGGCCGAAUGGGUAAUGCGGCCACCUGGUAGCGCCUUGGCGUGGGGACCCAAGGCGCGUGGGUUCGAAACCCGCAGGGGACAACAUUACAUCCGGAGCCAACUUCUCAGCUCCUAAAAUAAUGGGAUGUGAACCUGCCAAGUAGGUACCUUCGGGCGGACCUACUACUUGAUUUAGCUGAUUUUUCCUGGGCUGGGAACCUGUAUUGCAUGUACCAAAUCCUGUCUUUCAUUAAUUUUCCUAUGUUCCUGUUAUAUUCUUGGCGUCGUUCAACACUAAGCAUUCCUCCUGUAUAACCAACUCUUGCCUGUAUUUAACAUCACACAAGGACUCGUCAUAAGCACUGCUUGCAUACGAGUAUAAUGGAAGAAUAAUAAUAAUAAUAAUAACCAAUUAAAGAUACGAAGCAGUGAAAAUCUCUAGAUUGAGGCCACUGUUUUGAACACAUUGGCAUCUAAUCAUUUCAGUCAGAAAAUAAAGCAAC